rnacentral:rRNA from 1 species
CAUGGACAAGUUUAUCACUCUAGUUUCAUUGAUGAUGACGGGAUCACAAAAGCCUGUGGGUGUCCUUUGCUUCCACUCAAAACCCAUAUGAAGGGCCCAGCCCCAGCCUCAGAUUCAGAUAAGGAGGGUAUAAUUGAUGAAGCAAUAACUUUCUUCCGUGCAAAUGUUUUCUUCAAAAACUUCCAUGUCAAAAGCCCAGCAGACAAAUUGCUCAUCUAUCUGACAUCUUACAUCAAUAUUGCCUUGAAAAGACUAGAAACCUGCCGGACGCUGGCUGUCGGAACUAAGGCAAUCAUUAACCUGGGGUUGGAAAAAGUUCCUGCGCCUGGGGAACCAGGGUUUCCUUUCCCUGGACUUUUCACUCUCCCCCAAUCUGGGGAGGAAGCAGAACUGUUGAGGAACUAUCUGAAGCAGAUAAGGGAGGAAACGAGCGGGAGGCUGCUCAACUGCGCAUACAGAGCUAAUGGCACUCCCAACAAAUGGUGGCUGGCUUUUGCGAAGAGGAAGUUCAUGAACGUUGUCAUCCUUUAG